UUUCUCAAGGUCGGAAGAAAGCAAAGCUAGUCAGACUGACAAGAAGGACUAGCGUAUCCCGCAAGGGUCCCUAUACCUCCUAUUUCCCUGUAGAAGAGCCUUUGAAGCAGGGAUCGGACAUUCAGUUCAAGGUGGAGAACCUAUAGUUACGUUCAACACAGCAAACUACUUGUCUUUGGGGUUACCCUUCUGUCAUUAAAACAGAUUCAGAU
rnacentral:lncRNA from 1 species